UACGGAGGGCGCAAGCGUUGUUCGGGAUUACUGGGCGUAAAGCGCGUGUAGGUGGCCUGAAAAGUCGGGUGUGAAAUCCCGGAGCUCAACUCCGGAACUGCAUCCGAUACUGCCAGGCUCGAGUCUCGGAGAGGAUGGCGGAAUUUCCGGUGUAGAGGUGAAAUUCGUAGAUAUCGGAAGGAACACCAGUGGCGAAGGCGGCCGUCUGGACGAUGACUGACACCGAGACGCGAAAGCGUGGGGAGCAAACAGG
rnacentral:rRNA from 1 species